rnacentral:misc_RNA from 1 species
GGCGGCGGCACGGUGGCCGUAUCCGCGGUAGAGGCGGAGCUCCAGCCAGCUUCCACUUUUUGGUCCCUCUGUGCAAAGAGCUGCUCCUCCCCGACAAAACGCCAGCUCUUGGACCUCAACUUUCCUCCGACCUCCGUUGUGCCCACAAAUUCCGCCGGUCUGGCGGCACCGGCCGUUCCGGCGGCUUUGUCGGCGGUGUGCACGCUGGAGAAGGUGAAAUUGGCACUGGAGCGAGAGUCAAGGAGCAAGCGGCAAAGAUGCGCAGAGGC